GGGGCCGACUUGGUUUCGACGUGGGUUUUGAAGCAGCCGGGAGCAUGCCGAGCACCAGUACGCUCGCAAAACCACUGGACCUAAAGUAAACGCAAACGACUCGUCGUUCGCUCUCGCCGCUUAACACCGGUGAGCGUUGCAACAGCUCGCUGCCGGGCUGGGAGGGAAACCUCCGCAACGUCAUUCACGGCAGCUCGCCCUGAGCCGCGCCACGUGGCGCAGGGUUAAACCCAGUGGAUCGGCCC
rnacentral:tmRNA from 1 species